rnacentral:rRNA from 1 species
CUACGGGGCGCACCAGUGAGGAAUAUUGCACAAUGGGGGGAACCCUGAUGCAGCAACGCCGCGUGGAGGAUGACGCAUUUCGGUGUGUAAACUCCUUUUAUAUGUCAAGAAAAUGACGGUAGCAUAUGAAUAAGCACCGGCUAACUCCGUGCCAGCAGCCGCGUGUAAUACGGAGGGUGCGAAGCGUUACUCGGAAGCACUGGGCGUAAAGGACGCGUAGGCGGGUUGGAAAGUCAGGUGUGAAAUCCUACAGCUUAACUGUAGAACUGCACUUGAAACUUCUAAUCUAGAGUAUGGGAGGGGGAGAUGGAAUUAGUGGUGUAGGGGUAAAAUCCGUAGAUAUCACUAGGAAUACCUAAAGCGAAGGCGAUCUCCUGGAACAUUACUGACGCUAAGGCGUGAAAGCGUGGGGAGCAAACAGGAUUAGAUACCCGCGUAGUC